ensembl:rRNA 5S_rRNA 5S ribosomal RNA
UGAAAUUGCAUAUCACCCUGCAGCCCAAGAUUGGUUACUCACUGAAGCUAAGCAGGGCUGAGCCUGGUCAGUACUGUGAUGGGAGACCACAUGGGAAAACUAGGUUGCUGUUGGAA